rnacentral:tRNA from 1 species
GUAGCUGUGGCCGAGUGGUAAAGGCUGUGAGCUUGAAAUCCUUUGAGGUUUCCUAGGAAAAGGUACAAAUUUUGUCAGCUAUG